GUUCCUGUCCAACGUUAAUCGGGGCAGGGUGAGUCGGCCCCUAAGGCGAGGCUGAAAAGCGUAGUCGAUGGGAAACGGGUUAAUAUUCCCGUACUUGGAUAAACUGCGAUGUGGGGACGGAGAAGGUUAGGUUAGCAGACUGUUGGAUGUCUGUUUAAGGUGGUAGGUGGAAGACUUAGGCAAAUCCGGGUCUUUAUAAAACACUGAGAGCUGAUGACGAGGUCUUAAGGGACUGAAGUAACUGAUACCCUGCUUCCAGGAAAAGCCACUAAGCUUCAGGUUUAUCUAAACCGUACUGAAAACCGACACAGGUGGUCAGGUAGAGAAUACUCAGGCGCUUGAGAGAACUCGGGUGAAGGAACUAGGCAAAAUAGCACCGUAACUUCGGGAGAAGGUGCGCUUACAGUAAUUGUAGUCCCUUGCGGAUGAAGGUGAAGUAAGUCGAAGAUACCAGCUGGCUGCAACUGUUUAUUAAAAACACAGCACUCUGCAAACACGAAAGUGGACGUAUAGGGUGUGAUGCCUGCCCGGUGCUGGAAGGUUAAUUGAUGGUGUUAUCGAAAGAGAAGCUCCUGAUCGAAGCCCCAGUAAACGGCGGCCGUAACUAUAACGGUCCUAAGGUAGCGAAAUUCCUUGUCGGGUAAGUUCCGACCUGCACGAAUGGCAUAAUGAUGGCCAGGCUGUCUCCACCCGAGACUCAGUGAAAUUGAAAUCGCCGUGAAGAUGCGGUGUACCCGCGGCUAGACGGAAAGACCCCGUGAACCUUUACUAUAGCUUGACACUGAACAUUGAAUUUUGAUGUGUAGGAUAGGUGGGAGCCUUUGAAGCAGUGACGCCAGUCAUUGUGGAGGCGACCUUGAAAUACCACCCUUUAACGUUUGAUGUUCUAACGAAGUGCCUGAAACGGGUACUCGGACAGUGUCUGGUGGGUAGUUUGACUGGGGCGGUCUCCUCCCAAAGCGUAACGGAGGAGCACGAAGGUUUGCUAAUGACGGUCGGACAUCGUCAGGUUAGUGCAAUGGUAUAAGCAAGCUUAACUGCGAGACAGACAAGUCGAGCAGGUGCGAAAGCAGGUCAUAGUGAUCCGGUGGUUCUGAAUGGAAGGGCCAUCGCUCAACGGAUAAAAGGUACUCCGGGGAUAACAGGCUGAUACCGCCCAAGAGUUCAUAUCGACGGCGGUGUUUGGCACCUCGAUGUCGGCUCAUCACAUCCUGGGGCUGAAGUAGGUCCCAAGGGUAUGGCUGUUCGCCAUUUAAAGUGGUACGCGAGCUGGGUUUA
rnacentral:rRNA from 1 species